UAAUUGAAGAGUUUGAUCAUGGCUCAGAUUGAACGCUGGCGGCAGGCCUAACACAUGCAAGUCGGGCGGUAACAGGGAGAAGCUUGCUUCUCCGCUGACGAGCGGCGGACGGGUGAGUAAUGUAUGGGGAUCUGCCUGAUGGCGGGGGAUAACUACUGGAAACGGUAGCUAAUACCGCAUAAUGUCUACGGACCAAAGCGGGGGACCUUCGGGCCUCGCGCCAUCAGAUGAACCCAUAUGGGAUUAGCUUGUAGGUGAGGUAA
rnacentral:rRNA from 1 species